CUCCGCUCUCUGUCGGAGGGUUUGGGUGGCAUAAAAAAAGCCUUUGGGUUCGCUGGAAAAGGGUCGCUUUAUCCUCAGCCGCCGAAUCCAUAGACAGUGCGGUCCGCGCGUUUCAGAGCGUACUUCUGGAUUAGAGUGGUGCUGGAAAAGCUCAUUCCAGAAAAGGACUGAACCUUUUCUCCUCAAAGCUCACUGUUCCUAAUGAGAGACCCUCCCCCAGCGCUGCCAUUGAGGAGUUUUUACUCAGUGAGUGCAAGAGGUUUGUUUGAAACAGACCGCAAUGGAGAGAUCAGCGCCCAGGGAAGCGAGGGAACAGCAGGCUCCUUCCAGCAGCACAUCGGGAUGGGAGCCUGGGACACAGAGGGGGCUCCGAGACCGGGAUUGAUUCGGGGUGGUGUCCCUGUGUCUUCCUCCAGAAAAACACCCGAGGUACUAAGACGCUGUAAUACUUCGUUCAAAGUAAAGAGUGACCAGCUGCCUCUAACAAACGGAACAAUUGUGAUUCAAAUUCAAAGACAGAGGAUCUGACGAUUUAGAAUUGAUAGCGUGUAAGAACAUCAACUCAUACCCUCUCGACAACAUUCUGGCAAACGUCUUCUGCAUCCUCUCUGAAUCCUCCACGUCCUUCCUGUAAUGUGGCGACCACAAUUGAAAAAUCACGCAACACCAGAUUAUAGUCCAGCAAGUUUAUUUGGAAGUACUAGUUUUUAAGAGUGCUGCUCCUUCAUCAGGUAGCUGUGAAAUAGGAUCAUGAGACACAGAAUUUAUAGCGAAAGAUUACAGUGUCAUGCAACUGAAAUGAUACAUUGAACAAAUCUGGAUUGUUAAGUCUUUCAUCAUGGGUUGCAGGUUUCAGUCCAUUAAUAUAUACAUACCAGAACUACUCUUAAGUCACAUUCUCAAGAUGACAUCAGGUUUUAUUUAAAAAAGGGUGACAUCUCAGCUCAAACAAUAUAUUAAAAGUUGUGAGGUUAGAGUCUGUCUGUAUCCCAAUCUUGAGUCAGACUGGUUCUAUUGCCAAAGUAGGAAUAUAUAAAACAUUACAUGGAUUGACUGCCUGCAGAUUAUGCUCUUUUUGAGCAAAAUAUAAUGUAUCUGCGAAUAUAGUUUUGCAAAUGCAAAUUCACCUCACAGAUUUGUAUAUGUGUGUGUGUGAGAAAGAGAGAGAAACAGUGUGUGCAUGUGAAUGUGAGUACAUAUGUGAAUGUGUGUUUGUGUUUGCAUGCUUCAUAAAGUGUAAGUAUGAGUGUGAUGGUGUCAGCUUGAGGUUGGGUGUGUGUAUGCGUGUGUGGAUGAGAGAGGAUUUGCAUGAGUGUGUGCGUGUGUGUGUGAGAGAGAGUGUUUCGUGCGACAGGAACCCGAUUUAAGGCUGUUCUCAUGGACUCUGAACUUUUGUAAGGAUACUUUUCACGUUACAAUAGAGGUGAACAAAGACACGAUGCUGUUAGUUUGAACAACCAUAUAUGAAGUAGAUAGUGAGUACAGGUAUUGAAGGAAACAUUUCAGCUAUCAGUAUCUGAGAAGGACAGAAUUAAUCUUUUGUGGGCAGCACGGUGGCACAGUUGUUAGCACUGCUGUCUCUCAGCACCAGAGACCCAGGUUCAAUUCCCGCCUCAGGCAACUGUCUAUAUGGAGUUUGCACAUUCUCCCUGUGUCUGCGUGGGUUUCCUCCCACAGUCGAAAGAUGUGCAGGUUAGGUGAAUUGACCAUGCUAAAUUGUCCAUAGUGUUAGGUGAAGGGGUAGAUGUAGGGGAAUGAGUCUGGGUGGAUUGCUCUUCGGAGGGUCAGUGUGGACUUGUUGGGCCGAAGGGCCUAUUUCCACACUGUAAGUAAACUAAUCUAAAGUCACAAUACUCUAAGUAUGGUCUAACCAAAGUCAUAUAAAGCUGCAAUAUGACAUCCUGACCUUUGUACUCAAUGCCCCAACCAAUAAGGCAGGCAUGCCAGACACCUUUUCCUAGAUACCACCCUACCUGCUUGCAUGGCCACUUUCAGGGAGCUGGAGACUUGAACCCCAAGAUCCUUCUGUACAUUAGUGACUUUCAGAGUCCAGCCAUUUACUGUAUACCUUCACUUAAAAUUUGAUCUCCCAAAGUCCAGCAUUUUACACUUUGCCAGAAUAAACUCAAUCUGCCAUAUUUCUUCAGGCCAUAUCCUGCUGUAUCCUUUGACAAGCUUCUACACUACCCACAAGUCCACCAAUCUUUAUAAUGUUACAAUCAAGGUGACAAAUAGCUGAUAUGAUUAUUUAUUUUACAUGUGGUUGCCUAAAGUAGAGUACAAAUUUAUAUUGAAGGAAACUUUACAGCUCUCAGGAAUUCAGAGCAACAGAAUUAAUCUUUUGUCAUGUAUAUUGACACAGCAAUCAAGUAAUAUGAAUUCCAAAUGCACAUUCUCUGUCAAAGCCUGACAUAGAAUGAUUAGUGUGUAGGUACAUUACCAAAUAUUGCCACCCCCAACACACACACACCCACACACACACACAUUCUCUAUCUCUCUGUGACUUAUGAUGAGUUUCAAAACAUAUACUCUCCUGACACCUGUUACAAUAUCUAACUGCCUUGCAGUUCCAUUGACAUUGCAAGUAACAGAAAAUGUUACAUUCAAAAUUAUUUCUACCCACAGAUCCUUUGUCAGAGAGGGAGAGGCCAACAGCACAGAGUCAAGCCCAUCAAAACUUAUGAGUCUGUACCGAUCAGAAACAACCAGCUAACAAUUUUCAUCCUGAUCAGCUAGCAUCUAUUUGCAUAAAUGUAUCAUGGUAGCAGAGGAGCUGCCACCCCCAUUUUUAUCACAACAUCAUUCUCCAUUUCUUCAUAUUGUAGUAGAAGACUUUGUUUUAUCUAUUUCACUCCAACCAGAAACUUUUUUUUAGAUAGUUAUGUACUUCUUUCAAAAUUAGUUGCAGUUAUCUACAAAGAGGUCUGCAUCCCUCCUCCCCUCCCGAGGAUGUAUCACAAAAUAAAACGUGAAAUCUGGCUGCAAUUUUCACAAUGCAUCAAUGGUACCUAAUAACCACCCUUCAAAGCAGUGGAGAAAGGGGCAGAAAAAAGCCAAAAUUGGUAGGUUUGUAGAACUGUUUGUUUUAUUUUCAUGCAGAGGAGAGUAUUGAUUAUUCCAUAAAUUGAAUUUGACAGUUUACAUAUUCUGCAGUGCAUGACAAAAAAUAAAAAAUUUUCCUUUCCUCCGCCCUACAAUAGAGUAACUCAAGUUAAUGGUGCAUCUUCACUCGACAGAGCAGGGUAAUGUUCUGUCUACGUCAGAAAAUAGAAGUGCAUUGGCCAAUAGUCAUUUC